rnacentral:rRNA from 1 species
CGGCUGGCGGCGUGCCUAACACAUGCAAGUCGAGCGAGGAGAUCCUCGGGAUGAUCCUAGCGGCGGACGGGUGAGUAACACGUGGGCAACCUGCCUCAUAGAGAGGAAUAGCUCCGAAAGGAGAUUAAUACCUCAUAACAUUGCAGUUUCGCAUGGAACAGCAAUUAAAGGAGUAAUCCGCUAUGAGAUGGGCCCGCGGCGCAUUAGCUAGUUGGUGAGGUAAUGGCUCACCAAGGCGACGAUGCGUAGCCGACCUGAGAGGGUGAUCGGCCACAUUGGGACUGAGACACGGCCCAGACUCCUACGGGAGGCAGCAGUGGGGAAUAUUGCACAAUGGGGGAAACCCUGAUGCAAGCAACGCCGCGUGAGUGAUGACGGCCUUCGGGUUGUAAAGCUCUGUCUUCAGGGACGAUAAUGACGGUACCUGAGGAGGAAGCCACGGCUAACUACGUGCCAGCAGCGGC